AACGAACGCUGGCGGCAGGCUUAACACAUGCAAGUCGAACACAUCCUUCGGGGUGAGUGGCAGACGGGUGAGUAACGCGUGGGAACGUGCCCUUCAGUUCGGGAUAACCCAGGGAAACUUGGGCUAAUACCGGAUACGUGCGAGAGCAGAAAGAUUUAUCGCUGAAGGAUCGGCCCGCGUCUGAUUAGCUGGUUGGUGGGGUAAUGGCCCACCAAGGCGACGAUCAGUAGCUGGUCUGAGAGGAUGAUCAGCCACAUUGGGACUGAGACACGGCCCAAACUCCUACGGGAGGCAGCAGUGGGGAAUCUUGCACAAUGGAGGCAACUCUGAUGCAGCGACGCCGCGUGAGCGAUGAAGCCCUUCGGGGUGUAAAGCUCUUUCGACGGGAACGAUAAUGACGGUACCCGGAGAAGAAGCUGCGGCUAACUACGUGCCAGCAGCCGCGGUAAUAC
rnacentral:rRNA from 1 species